UACGUAGGGUGCAAGCGUUAAUCGGAAUUACUGGGCGUAAAGCGUGCGCAGGCGGUUAUAUAAGACAGUUGUGAAAUCCCCGGGCUCAACCUGGGAACUGCAUCUGUGACUGUAUAGCUAGAGUACGGUAGAGGGGGAUGGAAUUCCGCGUGUAGCAGUGAAAUGCGUAGAUAUGCGGAGGAACACCGAUGGCGAAGGCAAUCCCCUGGACCUGUACUGACGCUCAUGGCACGAAAGCGUGGG
rnacentral:rRNA from 1 species